CCUACGGGAGACAGUAGUGAGGAAUAUUGGUCAAUGGACGAGAGUCUGAACCAGCCAAGUAGCGUGAAGGAUGACUGCCCUAUGGGUUGUAAACUUCUUUUAUAUGGGAAUAAAAUGUUCCACGUGUGGGAUUUUGUAUGUACCAUAUGAAUAAGGAUCGGCUAACUCUGUGCCAGCAGCCGCGGUAAUACGGAGGAUCCGAGCGUUAUCCGGAUUUAUUGGGUUUAAAGGGAGCGUAGGUGGAUUGUUAAGUCAGUUGUGAAAGUUUGCGGCUCAACCGUAAAAUUGCAGUUGAAACUGGCAGUCUUGAGUACAGUAGAGGUGGGCGGAAUUCGUGGUGUAGCGGUGAAAUGCUUAGAUAUCACGAAGAACUCCGAUUGCGAAGGCAGUUCACUGGACUGCAACUGACACUGAGGCUCGAAAGUGUGGGUAUCAAACAGGAUUAGAUACCCGAGUAGUC
rnacentral:rRNA from 1 species